rnacentral:rRNA from 1 species
GGUUGACCUCGGAUCAGGUAGGAAUACCCGCUGAACUUAAGCAUAUCAAUACGAAAA